UGUUCCUUUGAUGGCGACUCCGAGAUUUGUGGCUCGGGGACUUCCUGCAUACCAUUACCCUUGGGGGAAUUCUUCUUCCACGAAUGUGUCCAGCGCCUCUGAAAAUACUUUUUGUUUAUACGGUAUUUGUUUAUAGGGUUUCUGCAGAGGAGGAACGUCUCCCUGGUGGUGUUCCCUCCCACUCGGGUCACUAAAUUAACGGCAUUCGAGUCUGGAGAAGAGGAUGCUGAGGGGGAACGUCAUUGAUCUCUACAACUGCCUGCUGCCUCUGCAGAGAAGUCAAGAUGGUACAAGCAACUGAAAGCGUGAGCUUCAGCAAGAGAAGAGCCUUGCUACAGUUCUAUAGAUACUUAAGAAUACAGCUCCCAAGAGA